CUGAAGAACCUGGAGUCCAUUGUUCGAGGACAGGAAUCAUCCAGCAUGGGAAAAAGAUGUAGGCCAGGGGGCUAGGCCAGUCUCUCUUUUCACAUUUUUCUGCCUGCUUAUAUUCUAGCCACACUGGCAGCUGAUUAGAUUGUGCCCACCCAGAUUAUGAGUGGGUCUGAGACAAAGAUCUGGACAAACAUCUGAACACAGUUUCCUAUACCUCCUACUGGAAGUGUCCUGUAUAUGCCAUUUUUCACUAAAAAGGAGCAGACAGCAGCAAUAUGUAACUUCAAUCUGAAAUACGAAAUGCAAGAUGAGUCUGAAGUACAAAAAGACAAAAAGACUGGGAAAACUCUGAGAUCUAAUAAAGACAAGCCUUUUGCACAGCUUUACCAAGAAACCAAGAGACAUAUGUCACCCAGCCAUGUCAUGUUAAUGUAGCAACCAAGAAAGAAGAAGAGGCAAAAAAGGGUACUGCAUGUGAUAUCAGGAUUAACAGUUUUUACCUCUGAAAAACAGGGCACUAGUUUUUCACCCUUCAAUAUCUGAG